rnacentral:rRNA from 1 species
UAGAGUUUGAUCAUGGCUCAGGAUGAACGCUAGCGACAGGCUUAACACAUGCAAGUCGAGGGGCAGCGGGGAGGUAGCAAUACUUCCGCCGGCGACCGGCGCACGGGUGAGUAACACGUAUGGAACCUGCCCGUAGCAGGGGGAUAAACGGAAGAAAUUCCGUCUAAUACCGCGUAAUAACUCCGAGAGGCAUCUCAUGGAGUUUAAAGGGUAACACCGGCUACGGAUGGCCAUGCGGCGCAUUAGCUAGUUGGCGGGGUAACGGCCCACCAAGGCGACGAUGCGUAGGGGUUCUGAGAGGAAGGUCCCCCACACUGGUACUGAGACACGGACCAGACUCCUACGGGAGGCAGCAGUGAGGAAUAUUGGUCAAUGGGCGCGAGCCUGAACCAGCCAAGUCGCGUGAGGGAAGACGGUCCUAUGGAUUGUAAACCUCUUUUGUCGGGGAGCAAAAGACGCCACGUGUGGCGUUCCGAGAGUACCCGAAGAAAAAGCAUCGGCUAACUCCGUGCCAGCAGCCGCGGUAAUACGGAGGAUGCGAGCGUUAUCCGGAUUUAUUGGGUUUAAAGGGUGCGCAGGCGGAAGAUCAAGUCAGCGGUAAAAUUGAGAGGCUCAACCUCUUCGAGCCGUUGAAACUGGUUUUCUUGAGUGAGCGAGAAGUAUGCGGAAUGCGUGGUGUAGCGGUGAAAUGCAUAGAUAUCACGCAGAACUCCGAUUGCGAAGGCAGCAUACCGGCGCUCAACUGACGCUCAUGCACGAAAGUGUGGGUAUCGAACAGGAUUAGAUACCCUGGUAGUCCACACAGUAAACGAUGAAUACUAAUUGUUCGGGGAGAAUGAUCCCUGAGUGAUACAGCGAAAGCGUUAAGUAUUCCACCUGGGGAGUACGCCGGCAACGGUGAAACUCAAAGGAAUUGACGGGGGCCCGCACAAGCGGAGGAACAUGUGGUUUAAUUCGAUGAUACGCGAGGAACCUUACCCGGGCUCAAACGACACAGGAAUACUUUUGAAAGGAGGUAGCUCUACGGAGUCUGUGUCGAGGUGCUGCAUGGUUGUCGUCAGCUCGUGCCGUGAGGUGUCGGCUUAAGUGCCAUAACGAGCGCAACCCCCAUCGCCAGUUACCAGCAAGUCAAGUUGGGGACUCUGGCGAGACUGCCGGCGCAAGCUGUGAGGAAGGCGGGGAUGACGUCAAAUCAGCAUGGCCCUUACGUCCGGGGCGACACACGUGUUACAAUGGCAGGUACAGAGAGAAGCAAUGCGGCGACGCAAAGCGGAACUUGAAAGCCUGUCUCAGUUCGGAUUGGAGUCUGCAACUCGACUCCAUGAAGCUGGAUUCGCUAGUAAUCGCGCAUCAGCCAUGGCGCGGUGAAUACGUUCCCGGGCCUUGUACACACCGCCCGUCAAGCCAUGGAAGCCGGGAGUGCCUGAAGUGAGCAACCGCAAGGAGCGCCCUAAGGUAAAACUGGUGACUGGGGCUAAGUCGUAACAAGGUAACCGUAA